UACAGAGGUCCCAAGCGUUGUUCGGAUUUAUUGGGCGUAAAGGGUGCGUAGGCGGCGGAGUAAGUUGGGUGUGAAAUCCCGGGGCUCAACCUCGGAAUUGCAUUCAAUACUGCUUCGCUCGAGUACUGGAGAGGAGACUGGAAUUUACGGUGUAGCAGUGAAAUGCGUAGAUAUCGUAAGGAAGGCCGGUGGCGAAAGCGAGUCUCUGGACAGGAACUGACACUCAACUCCGAAAGCGUGGGGAGCAAACAGG
rnacentral:rRNA from 1 species